rnacentral:rRNA from 1 species
GUAGAACGCUGAAGAGGGGAGCUUGCUCUUCUUGGAUGAGUUGCGAACGGGUGAGUAACGCGUAGGUAACCUGCCUGGUAGCGGGGGAUAACUAUUGGAAACGAUAGCUAAUACCGCAUAAAAUUAAUUAUUGCAUGAUAAUUAAUUGAAAGAUGCAAUUGCAUCACUACCAGAUGGACCUGCGUUGUAUUAGCUAGUUGGUGAGGUAACGGCUCACCAAGGCGACGAUACAUAGCCGACCUGAGAGGGUGAUCGGCCACACUGGGACUGAGACACGGCCCAGACUCCUACGGGAGGCAGCAGUAGGGAAUCUUCGGCAAUGGGGGGAACCCUGACCGAGCAACGCCGCGUGAGUGAAGAAGGUUUUCGGAUCGUAAAGCUCUGUUGUAAGAGAAGAACGGGUGUGAGAGUGGAAAGUUCACACUGUGACGGUAUCUUACCAGAAAGGGACGGCUAACUACGUGCCAGCAGCCGCGGUAAUACGUAGGUCCCGAGCGUUGUCCGGAUUUAUUGGGCGUAAAGCGAGCGCAGGCGGUUAGAUAAGUCUGAAGUUAAAGGCUGUGGCUUAACCAUAGUAUGCUUUGGAAACUGUCUAACUUGAGUGCAGAAGGGGAGAGUGGAAUUCCAUGUGUAGCGGUGAAAUGCGUAGAUAUAUGGAGGAACACCGGUGGCGAAAGCGGCUCUCUGGUCUGUAACUGACGCUGAGGCUCGAAAGCGUGGGGAGCAAACAGGA